rnacentral:rRNA from 1 species
UACAGAGGUCUCAAGCGUUGUUCGGAUUCAUUGGGCGUAAAGGGUGCGUAGGCGGCGCGGUAAGUCAGGUGUGAAAUCUCGGAGCUUAACUCCGAAACUGCAUUCGAUACUGUCGUGCUUGAGGACUGGAGAGGAGACUGGAAUUUACGGUGUAGCGGUGAAAUGCGUAGAUAUCGUAAGGAAGACCAGUGGCGAAGGCGGGUCUCUGGACAGUUCCUGACGCUGAGGCACGAAGGCCAGGGGAGCAAACGGG